GGUGAACGCUGGCGGCGUGCUUAACACAUGCAAGUCGAACGGAAAGGCCCAAGCUUGCUUGGGUACUCGAGUGGCGAACGGGUGAGUAACACGUGGGUGAUCUGCCCUGCACUUCGGGAUAAGCCUGGGAAACUGGGUCUAAUACCGGAUAGGACCACAUUUUGGAUGGUGUGGUGGAAAGUUUUUCGGUGUGGGAUGAGCUCGCGGCCUAUCAGCUUGUUGGUGGGGUAAUGGCCUACCAAGGCGUCGACGGGUAGCCGGCCUGAGAGGGUGUACGGCCACAUUGGGACUGAGAUACGGCCCAGACUCCUACGGGAGGCAGCAGUGGGGAAUAUUGCACAAUGGGCGCCAGCCUGAUGCAGCGACGCCGCGUGGGGGAUGACGGCCUUCGGGUUGUAAACUCCUUUCGCUAGGGACGAAGCGUUAUGUGACGGUACCUGGAGAAGAAGCACCGGCUAACUACGUG
rnacentral:rRNA from 1 species